UCGGGUGUGGUGUACGGAACACUGCACGUCUUCCUGGAGUGCAUGAAGCGCGAUUGUAGCGCGCAGUCCGGGGUUCGACUCCCCGCGCCCGAA